CUGCAUGUGGCUCUUGUGCCACUGGCUGCCUUUAUAGGCCCCCUAAUCAGGGCUCUGCUUCUCUCACAGCAUGCUGCCCCCUCCCAACCACUAUGAACUUAACAAGGA